GACUACAAGGGUAUCUAAUCCUGUUUGCUCCCCACGCUGUCGCGCCUCAGCGUCAGCUACUGCCCAGCAGGCCGCCUUCGCCACCGGUGUUCUUCCGGAUCUCUACGCAUUCCACCGCUACACCCGGAAUUCCACCUGCCUCUACAGUGCUCAAGUCCACCAGUUCGCACGGCAGACCUGGGGUUGAGCCCCAGGCUUUCACCGCACGCUUAACAGACCGCCUACGCGCCCUUUACGCCCAGUGAUUCCGGACAACGCUCGCACCCUCCGUAUUACCGCGGCUGCUGGCACGGAGUUAGCCGGUGCUUCCUCACCCGGUACCGUCAGACUGGUCGAAACCAGUUGUUCGUCCCGGGCAACAGGGGUUUACACACCGAAAUGCUUCAUCCCCCACGCGGCGUCGCUGCGUCAGCCUUUCGCCCAUUGCGCAAUAUUCCCCACUGCAGCCCCCCGUAGG
rnacentral:rRNA from 1 species